UCAGCAGUAAAUUGAACCUAGCGGUCAGUAGGCUGGUACAAACUGGUUUAGAGCUAUCAAAAAAGUUAGACAAAGUUACAUUUUCCAGAACAAAGAAACAUGUCAGAAAACAGUUUCAAGGCCGGGACAGGGAGCCUGGGACGAGGAGAUUAGGAGCCAGGAGAAGAGUCACGAGGGGCAAAGGAAUGCGUGAGAAAUCAUCACUGAGGGGUAUCGAUACAAUGAACACCAUGCGCAGGUUAAGAUGAGGUGAUCUGAAGGAAGGUGAUGGUGACUGUAAGGUGAUAGUGACUGAAGUUGUCUUGGAUCGGGGAGAGAACAGGGGAGGAGGCUCUGUGGUCACCAUUGCGAAGGGCUGACCUCUUCGACCGAAACCACAGAAACUCAAGAUUGAGAAUGACUCCUCGCAGGACGAGCAGGAGGGCUGAAGGAGGAAGAACAACACAGACACCGAGUUAAAACUCAAGAGACCACCAACAGGCAGCUCUUCCAGUCGAUCAUGCUGAUCACCGGAGAACUCUGGACUGCAGACUUCAGGGGAAAGAUCGAUUAAGGCAGAAUACCACAGACACACCAGAGGGAGACAAGAUAGCCGAGAGAGAGAGAGAGAAAAAAAGGAAGCCUUGUCACAGACUCCAGAGACCAGUCAGAUUUGACCGCUGACCCAGCCUCCUUUCCCAGCACGCUGCUUCUACCCGACCCGGCUGAUUGACUGCUAGUUACCGGAAGAAGAUUAACUUCAAAAUGACCACAGUCAGCAACAGGAGGAUGAACACCAGCACUACCACGAGCCAGGGAUCCUUUCCCAUGAUUGCCACCGGAAUGUUCCUUAUGAGCGGGGCGCUGAUCGGUACCAUUCUGUCAAAGUAACCCCUGCAGCCUCCCCGGGGAAGUCUCCUCGGUCUCUUUGGAAGCUUUUGUCUCAUCGCACCUAUUCUGAUUCUAAGUAUUGAUAGCCAAGAUCCUUACCCUCUAAACGCUCUAAGACAGAGAUGUAUAUCAUUCUACCUUCCGCGCACACUAUUUACUCCGGAUGGCACUUCUGUGUUUACGUCAGCAACUAAAGUUUAAAACAAAAUCAUUAGUACAUCACUCAUUGAUGGUGCAAACAAAUAAAGAAAUAUGAGGGAGGAUUUUUUUCGCGAACCUACACAAGAUUCGUUCAGAUGAAGAAGAUCAUUCGGCCCAUUUGAUCUCCUCCUUCCAGACACCCAUCUUACCGUUCCCCCCCCAUCACAGCUCAACCACUCUUCUUGGUAACCUGUUCUAUUUGUUAAUUACUCAUUGACAUUGCUGCGUUCAAACUGGCUGCUGCAUUUUGCCCAGAAAACACACAGUCCCAACCACUUUGCUAUACUGUAUAUACUGUAUAUGUAACUGUACAUAUUGUGAAAAGCUUUGAGACAUCUCAAUGACAUGAUGAAGCCCUAAAGCAUGAUAAACCAAUGUUCGCUUCCUACUGUCUUGUUGCAUCCUAAAGUAUUGCUUUAGAUUUACUGUUUCAAUCCCAUUCAAAAUUGUACACACCUCAGUAAUGACCCUUGGAGUGGUGUUCUCUCAAGACUGAAGAGAGCUGGCUUGGCUCUGCUCAGUCUGAAUGUUUUUGCACAGGGAAUUGAAAACUUCCGCUCUCUAGUGUGCAAACAUCACUGCAAGUAAACGAUUAACUUCUUAUCUUACUUUUGAAAUUUGCCACCAGCAAAACCAAAAUAACAUCCUUGGUCACAAAGCUUGGAAGCACUUUACAGCUGACUAGGUGAAGGGAAUGCAAAUAUCUCUAUCAAACACACAUUGUGCCCACAAAUACAGAGGCACAACACAUCACAGUAAAAUCAACAACAGCUUGCAUUUAUAACAGCGUCCUUCACACAGAAUAGUGUCUCAGAGCACUGCACAGCAGUGGGAUUGUACAGAAAAUGCUGUGAAACCGCUUUGAGAUGUUUAUCUACGUGAUAAGGUGCCAUAUCAAAUCAACAUGUUAUUACAUCAGGGAUUGGUCUUUAGUCUGACAUUACACUAACUGAACUUUAAGGAGCUUUUAUUUAGCACUAUGUCAAAUACAUUCAAUAUUUGUUUCUGUUUUUUUACAUAAACCACUAAGAAUUAGUGAAGCCUCCCAGAGAUUCAAUAAAGAAUUA